rnacentral:rRNA from 1 species
UACGUAGGGGGGCAAGCGUUGUCCGGAUUCAUUGGGCGUAAAGAGCGUGUAGGCGGCCAGGUAGGUCGGUUGUGAAAACUGGAGGCUCAACCUUCAGAGGUCGACCGAAACCAUCUGGCUAGAGUCCGGGAGAGGAGAGUGGAAUUCCUGGUGUAGCGGUGAAAUGCGUAGAUAUCGAGAGGAACACCUGCGGCGAAGGCGGGUUGCUGGGCUGACACUGACGCUGAGGCGCGAAAGCUAGGGGAGCGAACGGG